CGCUGAAAUGGGGAUUAAACGCUGAAAUGGGGAUAAAACGCUGAAAUGGUCAAAUUUAAUCGAAUUCGUUGUUUCUUAGACCAUUGCGAACACAUGUAAUUUCCCUAUAAAACUGAAUAAAUAUAAGAAAGAAGUUCCCGGUAAAAUGACAACCACAAAUUUUCGAAGAAUGUCUGCUGCACUAUUUUUAAAGUCGUUUGAAUUACAUUUGACUACUAUACCUCGCGCAUAUUUGGUCUUUGACUAACCAAACAUGGAGAUAUGAAGCGAGCACUGUAGACGUUCUAUGCGUUUGUUUCCGCUCAAUUUUAAAAAUUUAUUAUGCAAAAAAUAAACGCGUUCAUUUAUACAUACAGUAAAAACAUGCAAUUAUAAAUAUGCAUAGACUAGAGAUACGACAUGCAGAAUAAUUUAAAUACGCGUGCGGUAUUUUCCCGUAUAUCCACUAAAAAGUAACAAAGUUAAGCCGGUUUUCCACUUCAACCGUAUCGUAUCGUACCGUAGCAUUUUCUUUUGUGUUGAAGUAAUUAGUUCCACACUAGUGAUCAG